rnacentral:rRNA from 1 species
UACGGAGGGAGCUAGCGUUUUUCGGAAUUACUGGGCGUAAAGAGCAUGUAGGCGGCUUGUUAAGUUGAAAGUGAAAGCCCAGGGCUUAACCCUGGAACUGCUUUCAAAACUGAUAAGCUAGAGGAUGAUAGGGGACAGUGGAAUUCCUAGUGUAGAGGUGAAAUUCUUAGAUAUUAGGAGGAACACCGGUGGCGAAGGCGACUGUCUGGAUCAUUACUGACGCUGAGAUGCGAAAGCGUGGGGAGCAAACAGG